GGCAUUUUCGUCAAACAUGUUUGGGGAAAUGUUCGUGUUUGGUGUUUUAUGUUUAACCAGUGUGACUGCAGUUUUCCCUCCUCCAAGCCGCCGAAGGAGAACGCAGCACGCAGGCGAGGAAGCGCGAAGUGCCGUUUUCAAAUUCUGGCAACCAAUCCGGACACGCUUGUGGCGUCCGACCGAGACUUGGCCUUCGGGAGAGGAAAAUGAGUUGCGCUGCGCAUGCGCUAGAAGUGAUGUCACGUGUCUCUCUUUGCCGCCGCCGUGCCGUCUGCUCGCUUCGCGUGCGCAUGCGCUAGCAGACAGCGCUUUGUUUGCUUGACUUGAGUUGAGCAUGGCUUGCGGAUGAGAUUUGUGGUAGUGCUGAAGCAGCUUUGCCAAAUAUUCCGUUCAAGUUCCUCGCUGGAUGUCCGGCUCGUCCGUCGAUGUUCAACAGAUGCAACAAGUGCCAGUCCACUUUUUCUCAGCUGCACCUUCUCAGUCCAGCAGCAGCACCAGGUGAAUGUAGGUACACAACUUCCCAGUAAAUUAAGACGCACGAGUGCAAUUCUGGUAAGUACGUCUCAUGCUCUGUUACACCAGUACACACAUACCAUUCGCAUUCAACGCCCUUAUUUUGCAUGUGUUGUAGCAAAUGAUUCAGUGGCACAAACCGGCAGGCUGGUGCGUAAUGUAAGCCCAUAGUGUCGAGUUGGACUAAUUCGGGUCGCGUGUUCGUACAGUCUGUGCAAUCGGACUGUCUACCUGUUCGGAAUUACUACCUGUUCUAUCUUAACACCGAAGUCGGUAUAUGAGUAAGAAAUAUCGUGGUUUCGACAAUUAUCAGUAAUCUUUCGUUGUGCUUAAUGAUUCCUAUUAUUUUAUACUUGUGUUUUUACUCAGAAUUCUAAUACUGUAUUCUUAACUGGAGCAACAAAAUUACGAAACACAUGAGGAUUGUGUUGAAACUGAGGACAUUGCUUAUUUUUACUGAUUUCAGAUUUUCAGGCAUGGGGAGAAGAAAUGCAGGAUGCAGCCAAGAGUCAUUUUACUAAAGGCACAGGAGUAAAAAGAUUGAAAGAUGGAAGUUUAAAGUGUUAUUAUAUUUGUAACUGAUCGGGUGCUUUUUACAGAGAAGAACAUCAAAGAAAAAAGGUCCAUAAAAUCAUAAGGUUCCGUUAGGCGUGGGGUAACCUGUAUUGAUGAUUCGUCUGCAACGUUCCAGACUGGCAAAGUUCCAGGACAUAACGGGACGUAUGCUCCGGGGCCCCAUCUCGCUCAUGAUCAGAGCCGACAGUUAAGGCAUAAUGGUUUCAAAUUUCCGAAGAUUGCAGUUCAGAAUUUGUAUGAGUACAACACAACAGCAUGUACAGCCCAAGACAAAAGUUCACGGCACUGCGCUUUUCUUCAUCGGAGCGGUCCCCUGCCAGCUACCAGCAAAAGAUCGAAUAAGAAACGGGUCUAUCUCUCAGUAUGUGUGUCCGCUCUUGUUUGAUGCUAGGGUGUCACUCCAAUGGAGAAAUGUGACACCAUGGUGGUCCGUAAACAUUUGUACCAAGCUGUACAUUGUACAACCUCGACAACUAACAGACACUGCUCGGUCAGGUCAGUGUCCCAAUUUGAGAUUUUGCUGCCUAUUUCUUCCCAAAAGGCUGCUCUUGCAAAAAUGCUUAAGAAAGUCAUUUGGGUGAACUCCGGUGUACCAAGAAAAGUGCAGAACAAAAAAUUUGUAGUAGUAUAGUUAGACUAUAUAGUAAUUUAUAGUAUGCCUUAGUAUAGUUAGACUUUGAAGGCAGUAGUCAACAUAAAUAAGUUUUACCUCUGAGCGAUGAUGGCCCAUUCAAGGCAACAACAAACUCAUAGGUUCACCACAUCAUCUAAACUUCCUCGCCCUGUUACAGCUUGUUUCUGUCCACAACAUCUUCAAGGUGCAUAUUCUGUGCCAUGCAACCAGAGGAGUGGUUACAUGAACUAUCAUUCAUCGAGCAUUUGUGAGGAGAUUGUUAGAGGAAUCAGUCAGACAGAUGUGUUUCAGAUGAUUUUUUUUUUCAGUUUUCAGGUUUUUAUUGUUAUUUCAUGACAGUAUACUCUGAUACUGAUACUGGGCAAGCCCUGUUGAACAGUCCAAGACACAGUCAAUGCAAAUGUCUACACAAUUUGAGGGGAACAGAAAUACAAGAACACAUGACAAGUAUAAGAAACAAAUAGCAAAGAUAUUGCACAGCAGAGAAAUGCACAUAGUCAAAACGUAAUUGCAUGUCACCCUGCGUAUCAGCAGAAAAGUCCUGUUUGAUGGUGUUUUUGAAGGAUGCCAGAUUAUUGUUGGAACGAAUGCGUAGAGCAGUGUUUCUCAAACUGUGGGUUAUGACCCCCAAAUGGGUCAUGAGCUGUUGAAAGAUUCAUUGUUUCACACCCAACCAGAGGGUAAAGCUCAAUUCAUGUUCAAAGCAUUAAUGGACUGUCAUGCGUUGUCACAUGACAGUGCUGCAUUCAUGAGUAAAUGAUGUAGAUGUGAAGGUCCUUAAGCAUGAAUUCAACAGAAAUCCUCUGGCUGGGUGUAUUUCCUGCUGCUUGGCACACUCUUGGAAUCUGGUUGAAAAGCUGCUUCUGAAAACUGACCUGCUGCUAUGGCUUUCUUCACAGCAUCUGUGCAUCAAUAUUCGAACAGAUUGGGACAAAAGUUAUGGAGCAUCGGGGUGUUGCAUUUCUUUAUGGGAGUGACACCCUAGCAGCAAACAGAAGCGGCCACACACACUGAGAGGUGCACAGAACAGCAGUCACUUGUUUCUUAUUCGAUACCUUCCUGCUAGCCAGCAGGGGGCCGCUCCGAUGAAGUGCAAGGCAACAGGCUCAUUGAUAUGGUGUCCAGCUGGAAUUUGUGGUAUUUUGGAACAAUGUAUUGCUAACGAGACCAGUAAAAAUAUCCAAAACUGGA